rnacentral:rRNA from 1 species
GACGUAGGGCGCGAGCGUUGUCCGGAUUUAUUGGGCGUAAAGAGCUCGUAGGCGGCUUGUCGCGUCGUCCGUGAAAACCUGCAGCUCAACUGCAGGCUUGCGGUCGAUACGGGCAGGCUCGAGUUCGGUAGGGGAGACUGGAAUUCCUGGUGUAGCGGUGAAAUGCGCAGAUAUCAGGAGGAACACCGGUGGCGAAGGCGGCUUUCUGGUCCGAUACUGACGCUGAGGUGCGAAAGCGUGGGGAGCGAUCCGG